UAUAGACACAUAGCAGAGGUUUCCUGCUUCAAGUAGCUAUUAUAUUAACCUACACUUUAGGCAAAGAGCAUUUUAGGUUUCACACUGAUGAAAACAUAGGAUGAGCAGAAGCAUCAGUAAAAGUUGCAUCUUUAAUGAAAGAGAUGAAACAGGCCAGCAAAGUCCACAGGUGUAAAACAUCCUGUGGGAGCAAAAUGCAUGUAGUGGAACUGCAGUGCCAUUUUUGGGAAGACUGUAGAUAUGUUGAAUGCAUUUCCCAGCAUCUGGUCUGCAAGGGAGAAUGGUGAAAUCAGAAAAAGAGAGAAGUAAACCCACCACAAAUACACAAAGUGUUUUUACAGAAAUACUGGUGUGACCAAGGUGACUCCAUCCAUUCUCUCUGAUGGUAAUCACAUCACAGAGACCCCCUGGGCAAGCACAGCAGCCUCAUUUGUGAAGAGCUCAGAGAAAAAGCAGAAAACACCAAGCUGUUCAGCCCUGCCAAGGGACAGAGCACCUUAGACCUGCCCAGAGGCAAAUUCUAGGUGCUUGCCAGGCUUCAAGGAGAAAAACUGCAGUGCCUACAAAUUCUGGAUUUAUUUUGACCAGCAACUGCACAGGCAUUUUGAGAAGCCACAUUUUGGACAUGGGUGUCUCCUCGGGGAGGGAGAACGGCGGGUCGGGGCGGGUCCGGCCCCGGCGCUCCCGCAGCGCGGUGCGUGCAGGGCGCGGGUCCUGCCCCGCACCCUGCCAAAGGCAACAGCCCUACCCUGCUCCGCAGCCUACGCAGGGAUCCCUCAUCCCGUUCCUGGACAGGGAGAAACCGCCUCUCAGCGGGAAAAGCGACGGGAACCCCCGGGCGCGCUCCAUCUCCCUCCGGCUGAUGCUCGCCCCGGGACCGCCUCGGAGGUGCAUGACCCUCGCCGUGCUGUUUGAUCCGUUCUCCCUCUCCACCUUCUCAGGAAUUAUCUAUUUUUUUUUUCUUUCCUAAACAAAUUUAGAAGGAAGAGAUUAGGCAGGGGAGGGACAGGCUGGCUGCGAGCCUGCAGCCGGCAGUGGAAGGGAACCACAAGCCUUUCUCGGGCGGUGUUUGCUCGGGUUCCUUUAGCAAGCGCGGCACAAUGGCAACUAUUCAGGAAUUAGUCAAUAUGACCUGGCACUAACAAGCCCUAAAAACAUAUAUGCCUCAUUCUCACAGAGCCUAGGAAUCAUGUUUUUAAGCGGGAUUUACUUUACUUUGUCAACAGAACAGGUAAUGUGGGAAGUCUCUAUUGGAGAGUAAAAGCUUUUCCCGUCCUCUCUUCCAAAAGAGACAUUUGGACCAUAAAACCGACUUUCCUGGCCAACUGAAGAGAUUUCACCACAGGUAGUCCUGAGUGACAGGAUUUUCCCCGAGCAAAAUUAAACUGGAAAGGAGAAAUGCCCUGAGAAACCCAUCCGGCCUCCCUCGGGGGGGAUUUCCCAGGGAGUGAGGGGGACAAACUCACAUGGGUGGCGGGAGGGUGGGCAGGGAGAGGGGCCCC